rnacentral:rRNA from 1 species
CUACGGGUUGCAGCAGUGAGGAAUAUUGCACAAUGGGGGGAACCCUGAUGCAGCAACGCCGCGUGGAGGAUGACGCAUUUCGGUGUGUAAACUCCUUUUAUAUGUCAAGAAAAUGACGGUAGCAUAUGAAUAAGCACCGGCUAACUCCGUGGCCAGCAGCCGCGGUAAUACGGAGGGUGCAAGCGUUACUCGGAAUCACUGGGCGUAAAGGACGCGUAGGCGGGCUUGUAAGUCAGGUGUGAAAUCCUACAGCUUAACUGUAGAACUGCACUUGAAACUACGAGCCUAGAGUAUGGGAGGGGGAGAUGGAAUUAGUGGUGUAGGGGUAAAAUCCGUAGAUAUCACUAGGAAUACCUAAAGCGAAGGCGAUCUCCUGGAACAUAACUGACGCUAAGGCGUGAGAGCGUGGGGAGCAAACAGGAUUAGAUACCCCAGUAGUC